GAUGAACGCUGGCGGCGUGCCUAAUACAUGCAAGUCGAGCGAACGGACGAGAAGCUUGCUUUUCUGACGUUAGCGGCGGACGGGUGAGUAACACGUGGAUAACCUACCUAUAAGACUGGGAUAACUUCGGGAAACCGGAGCUAAUACCGGAUAAUAUUUUGAACCGCAUGGUUCAAAAGUGAAAGACGGUCUUGCUGUCACUUAUAGCUGGAUCCGCGCUGCAUUAGCUAGUUGGUAAGGUAACGGCUUACCAAGGCAACGAUGCAUAGCCGACCUGAGAGGGUGAUCGGCCACACUGGAACUGAGACACGGUCCAGACUCCUACGGGAGGCAGCAGUAGGGAAUCUUCCGCAAUGGGCGAAAGCCUGACGGAGCAACGCCGCGUGAGUGAUGAAGGUCUUCGGAUCGUAAAACUCUGUUAUUAGGGAAGAACAUAUGUGUAAGUAACUGUGCACAUCUUGACGGUACCUAAUCAGAAAGCCACGGCUAACUACGUG
rnacentral:rRNA from 1 species